GAACUUCUAAACAUUCUCUUAAGGAACGAAGUCCAUAUAAUCCUAGGGAUAGUAAUGAGGAAACAAGAAGAGGAGAAGCUAUUAGAGAUAACGUAGCAAUUGAUAUGUGGGUUGCUUAUAAUGUUGAUUAUUUGUGGACUAAUUGUGUUGCCUAUGAAUUUGUGUUGUUUAUGAUAUUUGUGUGGUUUAUAACAUGUGUAACAUUAAUGUUUUAAUUGAAUACUAUAAUUUGAAAUUUAGUUUGUUGUAAUCAUAUUAUAUUUCGUUGCCUAUUGUUUUUUAAAAAAUGAUUAUAUUUGUUGGUGUUAUGUUGUAGUGUCUUAGAAAAUGACGAAGAGGAACAAAUUUGCAGAUUGAGGGAGUAACACUGUCCAUUGGACAGAUUCUAUGGAUGAUACCUUAGUAGAUACAUUUUACAGUCAACAUUUGUUGGGUCGUAAAUCUGGUGGGACAUUCACUACACAAGCCAUUGAUUGUAUUGUGACAGAAAUGAGGAAUGCAUUUCCAAACACGCGAGUUGAUGAAGAGCAAAUCCACAAGCACAUCAAAAAUUUAAAAAAUAAUUUUCCAAAAGGUAUGACAUUUUCAAAAAUAGGUUGAGUGGUUUUGCCUGACAUCUAGUAACUGAAAAAUUUAAAGCAGAAGAUGAGGUGUGACAGCAACUAAUAGAGACUCACUCUGAAGCAGUUGAACUAAAGAACAAACGAGUGCAGAAUUACGACAAAACGUUGAAAAUGUAUAGAAAGGAUAGAACUGAUGGGGCUGGUUGUGAGACGAUAUGUACUAAUCAAAGGCAGAGGUAGAGGAAUGUUAAUGAAAAUGCAAUGAGCAUUGAGGAGAUUGACUGUAUGGUUUCCUAAAAUUAAGGUGGUAAUUUCAGUUUUGAUGGUGUGGAUUCUUUGAAUGAUGCUUCAAUGCCUAAAACACCUACUUCACAACUUUAAUAUAAAGCUCCAAGUUCUUCCAGGUUGAAGAAAUCGAAACAUUUGCCGGGUAUCUUAGAGGAUGAUUAUAUGUCUCAACAAAUUGGAAUGGUUGCAACUGCACUCAAGGAAAUGGCAACAAACACACAUGUUCCUAUUCUAGCAAGCUAGUUAUAUGAAGAGGUUGGUCGUUUGGGUUUCGAGGCGGAUCAAGAAACACAAGCUUAUAUAGUUCUUAUGGGCAAACCAAACAUGGCUAUUCCUUUCAAGAAUUGCCCUCCUAAACGGUAAUUUGUUUCAUUCACCAGAUAUUGAAACCGGGGCUGUUGUUGCCGAAGUGCAAGACUCUAGUAUGAAUUUAAGGAAGUUGGAAAAAUUAUAUGUA